rnacentral:rRNA from 1 species
CGUUGGCGGCGUGGAUUAGGCAUGCAAGUCGUACGGGCCGCAAGGCCAGUGGCGCAAGGGUGAGUAAUGCGACGGUAACCAACCCCAUGGGUGGGUAUAGCCGCGGGAAACUGCGGGUAAUCCCCAGCGAAGCAAAGCGAUCGGCAUCGAUCGUUUGCCAAAGCUCAGGCGCCGUGGGACGGGCCGUCGUGGUAUUAGGUAGUUGGGGGGGUAACGGCCCACCAAGCCGACGAUGCCUACCGGGCGUGCGAGCGUGGCCCGGCACACUGGGACUGAGACACUGCCCAGACUCCUACGGGAGGCUGCAGUCGAGAAUCUUCGGCAAUGGGCGCAAGCCUGACCGAGCGACGCCGCGUGGAGGAUGAAGGCCUUCGGGUUGUAAACUCCUGUCGAGGGGAAAGAAGGUCCGCAAGGACUUGACUGAUCCCUGGAGGAAGCACGGGCUAAGUUCGUGCCAGCAGCCGCGGUAAGACGAACCGUGCGAACGUUAUUCGGAAUCACUGGGCUUAAAGCGCGUGUAGGCGGGAUGGCACGUCCGACGUUGAAAUCCCCCGGCUCAACCGGGGGAAGUGGCGCGGAUACGAUCGUCCUUGAGGGGCGUAGGGGGACCUGGAACUUCCGGUGGAGCGGUGAAAUGCGUUGAGAUCGGAAGGAACGCCCGUGGCGAAAGCGAGGUCCUGGACGCCUACUGACGCUGAGACGCGAAAGCCAGGGAGCGAACGGGAUUAGAUACCCCGGUAGUCCUGGCCGUAACGAUGGGCACUGGUUAGGGGUUCGCCGAUGGGUCCCCUGCCGUACGAAGCGUGAAGUGCCCGCCUGGGGAGUAUGGUC